CAUUUAUGUCCACCCUUGCAUUCCACUACGACAAGGGAUAUUCUUGGGUUAAAUUACUCGUCAAUGGAGAUAAAUUUUUUUGGUAAGAGCACUAUAUUUUGUCCUAUAAUUUCCCAUUCAAUUUAAAAAUAAUACCAUUUUAUUACUUACUUACCUAAUGUCAAAUGUCCAAUGAAAAGGCUUAACAACCACCUACCUAGCAAAGCUCUUUCAACCGUACCGCUUCCCUUCUUGCCAGAAGACUCUGCAAGAAAGCAGCCUAAACAGAGCAACAUGGCAUUCUCAAGUUCUACAACAAGUUACCACCAGCCUAUUUCGGCUGUUUUAACUCUUCAAACCAAACUUCCCUUCCAUCUUUCCCUUUCAAGCCACUCAAAUUCCCUCCACUCUGGCCCUGGCAGAAGGUGAAGAUGGACCCACUCACUGUGUCUCCAAUGGGGUUUGGAACAUGGGCCUGGGCCAACAAGCUUUUUUGGGGGUACCAAGAAUCAAUGGACGCUUAUCUUCAACACACUUUUAACUUGGCUGUUGAUAUGGUAUCAAUCGUUUUGAUAUACUGCUGAUUCUUAUGGAACUGGCAGGUUAAAUGGCCAAAGUGAAAAGCUACUUGGCAAGUUCUUACAAGAAUUUCCUGGUUGGUAUGUUUUCUUGGUUCCAUUUGUUCACUAAAUCAUUCAGGAUUCUAUUCAAUUGCUAUAAUUUUGAGCCUUUUUGCUUAAUAUCUGAGAAAAUUCUAUUCUUCUUGGUCCCACGAUGAGUAUUGAAUGCAAGAAAGAUCUGUGUAGAUUGACGUAUCUACAGUUGAUUUCAAUCUUCAUUGUUAGGAUCACACUAUCUGAUAAAGAGAAUAAUCAUAGAAACAAUCACGCGUAUACACUUACACUUUGUAAAUCUUCGUGGUUCGGCUAUGCUUACGUCUACAAGAGAGCAAAGAGGAUAGAUUUUCACCAUAUCGGAACAGUAAAAGUUUGGAGAACUCUCAACCCUUCUCCCAAGCACUUCCAAUUUGGCUUCCUGGAGAAAAAUGCCUGACAUCCUUGAGCCUAAAAUUCAAGCCAUACUCAACAAAUAUCUAUUGUUUUGUUGCCCUGUUGAUCAACUUAUGAAUGAUUCCAUAUCCACUUGAUCUCUAGACUUUUCAUAAUUUGAAUAGUGAUAUUGACAAGUCAUAUAUAACUAUUUGUUGUGAAAAUAAGAUAAAUGAAGUUAGAAUAUAGAUUCUUUAUCCUGUGAUGAGAUUUGAAUCCUGCUUUUCAUGGUCAGAGAUGGGGAAAGAAUCUUUGUUUUGACUGUCACAAAUUUUUUACUAAUGACUUUUCGUUCAUGAAUUCAUAGGAAAGCAGACAUGAAAUGACAAAUUUUUUACUAAUGGCUUUUCGUUCAUGACUUCUAUUUAGGCAAAUUCUUCCUAGAUUGGAGCCUUUAUUGAACUUCUUAAGAGAAAUUGCACAAAAAAGGAGUAAUCCUUUUUAGUAAUUGCUUCUUAUCUAUGCCUAAUGGAAAAUUCAUGAUUCCGGGGGAUCGGAGAAUUUGUGAGUAGAUUUAUGAAUCGGUAACAGGAUUAAUUUGGAGAAAACAAUGUAUCAACAUAAUAAGGAAACAAUUGAUCAGUUACCGCUUCAUAUGUUUGCUAGUUGAGUUCCUUUCUCUAAUGCCAUCCAUUCCAAAGCAACAAUAGCUGCCUUUUGCAAGGCUUUGUGUUAGCAGGUUGCGAUAUACUGGUGCAACUGCAAAGGUGCUAUUCCAAUUCAUGGAGUUAAGACAGUAAAGCAAGCAGAGGAAAACUUGGCUGCCCUUUGUUGGCGCCUGAGUUCUGAUGAGUUGCUUCAGUUAAACUACGCAGCAAGCAAGUAUCCUAAGAACAUGAUCCAAAACAUUUUACAGACAAGUAUGGAAUUGAGGUGAGAGUCUUCCUCCCUGUUCGGUGCUGGCUGUCUCGUUCCUAUUCCCAGUCUGCCUCGGGUCGGCAUUCUUGCAAUACAUGAGGACAUAAGACCUGAGCAGCUUAUGUUUUUCAUAUCUUGAGGGUGUUAUAUAGGACCAAUUGAUUUGAAAAGUCACAGCAUUCUGAUAGGAGAUUGCUUUACUAGUAUCAAAUAUUUUAAGACAAACAAAAGUUGAGAAUUAUCUUAAUAGGAUGAACCGCGUGUAUAUCCCUUGCUUCAACCAAAAUUGAGGGAGUUGCAUAGAUGGAGAUUUGACAUCAUGUUUCUGGUACUGCAGAAUUCCAUCUCAACUGUAUUUACUGAUUGAAAUGUGCCAUUUAUCUCUAAUCUUUUGGAAAGAAAUCUGACUCUGUCAUUUUAA